rnacentral:rRNA from 1 species
CCUACGGGUGGCAGCAGUGAGGAAUAUUGGUCAAUGGACGGAAGUCUGAACCAGCCAUGCCGCGUGCAGGAAGACGGCUCAAUGAGUUGUAAACUGCUUUUGUACAAGGGUAAACCUGAAUACGUGUAUUCAGCUGAAAGUACUGUACGAAUAAGGAUCGGCUAACUCCGUGCCAGCAGCCGCGGUAAUACGGAGGAUCCAAGCGUUAUCCGGAUUUAUUGGGUUUAAAGGGUGCGUAGGCGGAUUGAUAAGUUAGAGGUGAAAUGUCCGAGCUUAACUCGGGAACUGCCUCUAAUACUGUUGGUCUAGAGAUGAGAUGCGGUAGGCGGAAUGUAUGGUGUAGCGGUGAAAUGCUUAGAGAUCAUACAGAACACCGAUUGCGAAGGCAGCUUACCAAUCUAUAUCUGACGUUGAGGCACGAAAGCGUGGGGAGCAAACAGGAUUAGAUACCCCAGUAGUC